UACAGAGGUCUCAAGCGUUGUUCGGAUUCAUUGGGCGUAAAGGGUGCGUAGGUGGCGCUGUAAGUCGGGUGUGAAAUUUCGGAGCUUAACUCCGAAACUGCAUUCGAUACUGCGGUGCUUGAGGACUGGAGAGGAGACUGGAAUUCAUGGUGUAGCAGUGAAAUGCGUAGAGAUCAUGAGGAAGACCAGUGGCGAAGACGGGUUGCUGGGCCGACACUGACGCUGAGUGCGCGAAAGCCAGGGGAGCAAACGGG
rnacentral:rRNA from 1 species